GGGAUGUGCAGAAAGUGAAGCACUGCACAUGCUGGACUUUGGUGUUGAUCAUUCUCAUCUCUGUGAAGCAGAAGUAAUCACAAAAAGCUUCAAAGUGGCACCAGCAGGCCACAUAUCACAAAGCCAAACUGAGAUCUCAUUGUCUACAUAAGGACAAGGAGCUGACAACCUCUCAUCUCAAACUUAUCCUGUUCUGUGUGAUCUCCAGUCAUUCUGUCGGUAAUAUUCUAUUACAACCAGAAGAUCUACAAGCACAUCCAUGGUUGACAGUAAUUACUUUGUGCAGAACCCUGAAAGUCUGGACAAAAUUCCUUCAGCACUUGUCACAUCACACUCUAAAUUGAAUGGAAGGCACCAUUCAAAAGUCAUGCCAACAGCCAGAAGCAAUCAACCAACAGCUAACUUCUGAGUAGCUUAUGAUUCCUUCAGGUAUUGCUGUUGGGGGCUCUCUCUUGAGUAUUCAGUUGUGUGAGGUUACAAGAGUAUUGGUUGGAGCAAUGAGUUACAAAACAGCAGUGUUGCUGUCAAAUCAGUAUUGUCUUUGUGACAUAACAAUUGGCGUCAU